rnacentral:lncRNA from 1 species
GUGUGUGUAUAUUGGGAACAUUAAUUUCAUUAAAUAUUUUUGUAUUUUCAAUGAAAAUUUUGACUAAUUUAUAAUGUAUUUUGUAAACAAACAUGAAUCUUUUUAUUUUCAUGACAUCUGUACGUUUUUUUUUUUUGUUAACAUGAUUUUCUUUUAUUUUUGUUAACAUGAUUUUCUUUUUGUAAACACACCUUUUACUUACUUUAAUUUU